GGCUUUAAUUAGAAUCGUCAUUGCACGUGGAUUGAAUCAUACAGUGUGUUGCCCACCGACGUGGCCGCACUUGAAAAGUAUAUAAGAGAAUGCGUUCGAUUCGCAUUUCCAUCAAACAGUUCUUACCAAUUGAUACGUUCAUAGUAAACUUCUAAUAGUUCGAAGCUAGAAAAAUGCUGAGCCGAAGUUCUUUCACACUGCUGCUCAUUGGCUUGAUGGUAUCCGAGUUCUUAAUCGGGGAUGUGAGCGGAGCACCACCCGGGAGGAACGUAAACGAAAAAGACAUGUAUGGAGAGACAGCUCUGCAUAGAGCUGCUUUUGCUGGCAAAGUGAAGGAAGCUGAAGAC